rnacentral:rRNA from 1 species
UACGUAGGGUGCAAGCGUUGUCCGGAAUUAUUGGGCGUAAAGAGCUCGUAGGCGGUUUGUCGCGUCGAAUGUGAAAACCCGGGGCUCAACCCCGGGCCUGCAUUCGAUACGGGCAGACUAGAGUUCGGUAGGGGAGUCUGGAAUUCCUGGUGUAGCGGUGAAAUGCGCAGAUAUCAGGAGGAACACCGGUGGCGAAGGCGGCUUCUUGGGCCGUUCCUGACGCUGAGGCGCGAAAGCUGGGGGAGCGAACGGG